GACGAACGCUGGCGGCGUGCUUAACACAUGCCAGUCGAACGGAAAGGCCUGCUUUCCCUUGUGGAUUGCGGGUACUCGAGUGGCGAACGGGUGAGUAACACGUGAGUGAUCUGCCCCCAACUUGGGUAUAAGCCUGGGAAACUGGGUCUAAUUCCCGAUAGGACUGCAGGGUGGUGCCUGUGGUGGAACACGAUUUUCUAGUGGUUGGGGAUGAGCUCGCGGCCUAUCAGCUUGUUGGUGGGGUAAUGGCCUACCAAGGCGGCGACGGGUAGCCGGCCUGGGAGGGUGGACGGCCACAUUGGGACUGGGAUACGGCCCAGACUCCUACGGGAGGAAGCAGUGGGGAAUAUUGCACAAUGGGCGGAAGCCUGAUGCAGCGACGCCGCGUGGGGGAUGACGGACUUCGGGUUGUUAACUCCUUUCGACCGCGAGGAAGCCACCUGGUUGGAAGGGUGGUGACGGUAGUGGUAGAAGAAGCACCGGCUAACUACGUG
rnacentral:rRNA from 1 species